rnacentral:rRNA from 1 species
UACAGAGGUCCCAAGCGUUGUUCGGAUUCACUGGGCGUAAAGCGCACGUAGGCGGCUUUCUAAGUCGGGGGUGAAAUCCUGGAGCUCAACUCCAGAACUGCCUUCGAUACUGGAAAGCUCGAGUCCGGGAGAGGUGAGUAGAACUGCGAGUGUAGAGGUGAAAUUCGUAGAUAUUCGCAAGAACACCAGUGGCGAAGGCGGCUCACUGGCCCGGUACUGACGCUGAGGUGCGAAAGCGUGGGGAGCAAACAGG